AAAAAUGUGGAGUUUGGCAUUGACCUGGACACACGAGUUGCAAUGUGGGUCCCAAUGGGGCAGGGAAGUCCACACUUCUCAAGCUACUAAUGGGAGAGCUUCUUCCCACAGACGGAAUGAUAAGAAAGCACUCGCAUGUCAAGAUUGGCAGGUAUCACCAGCAUCUGACUGAGCAGCUAGAGCUUGACCUGUCUCCUCUGGAGUACAUGAUGAAGUGCUUCCCAGAAAUCAAAGAGAAAGAGGAGAUUAGGAAGAUCAUUGGACGUUAUGGCCUGA